GAGCGGCGAACGGGUGAGUAACACGUGAGCAACCUGCCCCUGACUCUGGGAUAAGCCCGGGAAACUGGGUCUAAUACCGGAUAUGACCGCCCCUGGCAUCGGGUGGUGGUGGAAAGUUUUUUCGGUUGGGGAUGGGCUCGCGGCCUAUCAGCUUGUUGGUGGGGUAGUGGCCUACCAAGGCGACGACGGGUAGCCGGCCUGAGAGGGCGACCGGCCACACUGGGACUGAGACACGGCCCAGACUCCUACGGGAGGCAGCAGUGGGGAAUAUUGCGCAAUGGGCGGAAGCCUGACGCAGCGACGCCGCGUGGGGGAUGACGGCCUUCGGGUUGUAAACCUCUUUCAGCAGGGACGAAGUUGACGUGUACCUGCAGAAGAAGCGCCGGCUAACUACGUGCCAGCAGCCGCGGUAAUACGUAGGGCGCAAGCGUUGUCCGGAAUUAUUGGGCGUAAAGAGCUCGUAGGUGGCUGGUCGCGUCUGCCGUGAAAGCCCGCAGCUUAACUGCGGGUCUGCGGUGGAUACGGGCCGGCUAGAGGUAGGUAGGGGCAAG
rnacentral:rRNA from 1 species